CUUGCCCGAACUUUGUUUGUUGGCCCAUCACGAGAAGCUUGCAUCCAUGCACGUUUGAGGAGCAACCAGAACUGCCUCCACCAAGUCUCUUUCCUUUUUACAACAGUUUUCUUGCUUAACUUCUUGCCAUUCUUAGGGCUCUCCCUGCUGGCAAAGGGAGUUGCAUAAAGCACAGUUGAUAAUUGUUCUGAGAAUGACUCAACAAGGCCAUCUAUCCUUUUCCGGGAAGAAUACACACUUUCAGCAGAACUGUAGUCAACAGAUAUGAGAUCAGCCAAAAAUUCAGCUGGAUUAACAUGAUCUGAGCAACGAUAC
rnacentral:misc_RNA from 1 species